CACAGGAGCUUGCUCCUGUUGGUUUUAGCGGCGGACGGGUGAGUAACACGUGGGCAACCUGCCCUGCAGAUCGGGAUAACUCCGGGAAACCGGUGCUAAUACCGAAUAGUUUAUCGCCUCUCCUGAGGCGGUACGGAAAGACGGUUUCGGCUGUCACUGCAGGAUGGGCCCGCGGCGCAUUAGCUAGUUGGUGGGGUAAUGGCCCACCAAGGCGACGAUGCGUAGCCGACCUGAGAGGGUGAUCGGCCACACUGGGACUGAGACACGGCCCAGACUCCUACGGGAGGCAGCAGUAGGGAAUCUUCCGCAAUGGACGCAAGUCUGACGGAGCAACGCCGCGUGAGUGACGAAGGUUUUCGGAUCGUAAAACUCUGUUGUGAGGGAAGAACAAGUGCCAACUAACUACUGGCACCUUGACGGUACCUCACCAGAAAGCCACGGCUAACUACGUGCCAGCAGCCGCGGUAAUACGUAGGUGGCAAGCGUUGUCCGGAAUUAUUGGGCGUAAAGCGCGCGCAGGCGGUCCUUUAAGUCUGAUGUGAAAGCCCACGGCUCAACCGUGGAGGGUCAUUGGAAACUGGAGGACUUGAGUGCAGAAGAGGAAAGUGGAAUUCCAUGUGUAGCGGUGAAAUGCGUAGAGAUGUGGAGGAACACCAGUGGCGAAGGCGACUUUCUGGUCUGUAACUGACGCUGAGGCGC
rnacentral:rRNA from 1 species